rnacentral:lncRNA from 1 species
CAUAGUGGCUGCUUGGUAUCAUUCAUUGCUGAGUAAUUACUCCUGUAUAGAUCAUCUCUUAAACUAAUUUUGUCCACUCUAAAGAAAGAAAUAAUUUACCAGAAUUCAGUGAUCAAUUAGUUAUCAAUCUCACAAAGAAGCCUGUGCUAGCUCAAUCUCUCAGUACUGUGUGAAACCCAGAGUUAUGUUUUAAUUUUGAAAGUUUUGUUGAAUUUCUGAAAUAACAGAAUAAUGCCAAUUAUUGCUCAGUUGGGUUAUAACACAAUUAAGAUACUGCUUAGAAAACCUAGUCAUGAAUGUCUUUCUCUCAGAACAGCAAUAAAUUGUGUUAGAACUUCUCUCAGAGUUAUGUUUUAAUUUUGAAAGUUUUGUUGAAUUUCUGAAAUAACAGAAUAAUGCCAAUUAUUGCUCAGUUGGGUUAUAACACAAUUAAGAUACUGCUUAGAAAACCUAGUCAUGAAUGUCUUUCUCUCAGAACAGCAAUAAAUUGUGUUAGAACUUCUCCUUUAGAGAGGACUGGUGUUAAAUGGAGAGACAAGCAAGAAUUAAAGUAGACACAGAAUUUUCUUUUCUUCUUCCCCAUGUAUAUCAAUUGCUUCCCUGCAGUGUAUGCUUAUGCUGGUUUAGGUUAGGUUUCCUUUGGACUUUUAAUCUAUCAUAUGUUAAAUUUAAAAGUUACUAGAAGGUAAAAUCGAACAUGCUACUGGCAUCUUUUGGUCUAGACCCUCCUCCAAAAUAAGAAAAUGACAAAGAGAAGCAUUGUAUGCUGCAACAAGUAAAUUAUAAUAUGUCUGAUUAGCAAGGAUAUGGGGACUUUAUUAUCCAAUAAUAUGUCUGAUUAGCAAGUAAUGGCCAGAUUUUGGCCAUGAAUGAAAAUACAUUUAUAUUCAAAAUAAAAUAAUAUCCAAUAACCUUAUAUACAGAUGCACUCUAGACUCUCCUACUCUAUUUCUAUAUUGAGUCUAAAACAUCAACUGUAGAGGCAGUGUCAUUUGAGUAUAAUUGAUUACACCAAAAACAUAACAACAAAAUGCAGUUUAGUUUAACAUCCUGCACACUAUUUUCUAUGCCUUCAAAACAUCUGGAAUUCCUUUCUUUCCAGAUUGCCCACCAUAUUGAAGCAGGGAUAAUUCUCCAUCUAGUUCUGUCUUUUGCAAGGGCACCUGCCUCCUCCCAGCUGUACAAGGCCUCAGUAACUCUCCUAGGCAUAGUCCAGGAUAUGCCUUUAAGGCUCAAGAAAAUCCUCCAAAGCUGCCGGGUGUAUUUGCAGUGUAGAAAUAGAUGGUUUACAGUUUCUAAGGUUUCCCCACAUAGGAAACACCUAGAGCAUAAGGUUAUCCCCCUUUUCAUUACAUUAUCCUGAGUCAGGGCAGCUUCCUUAGCUAGCAGCCAAAUAAAGCAUGAGACUUUGUGUGGGAUUCUACACUUCCAUACUUGUUUCCAAGGCCAGAUGGGACUCUGCUGGCUUGAUUCAUCCAUCAGCCUGUAAGCUGAAUGCACUUUGAACUCUCCUCUAUUGUUGCCUUUCCACCAAAGCAUAUCCUCAUAUGCCUGAAGUCCAGUAAAAUGUCCAACCAACUUGAGGAAUUCUGCCAACCUCAUCACUUCCCAGUCAUUUGGUUCUCUCCUGAAGAUGAAAUUCCACCCUUGUGGUGUCCAUAGUAUAAUACAUCGUUACCAUUUUCAAAAAUAAUAUCCAAUAACCUCCAUGACUUACAUGGUCUAUGUAGCUGUCCAGUCCAUUUCUAAUAUACAAUUGAAACUUACCCGCCUUAUUAUUAAUAUUCUUUUUAUGACUGAAAAAUCCAUCUGGGCCAACCCUUAGGACCAAACACAACCUUUGAAACCAGGCUUGGUGUAGGGCUCGAACCCGUGACCUUAGUCACAAGUCCCUCAACCUAUGCCACUCGAAGUAAUCUAACGGCUAUGCGCCUUAUUAUUGUUAUUAUUAUUAUAUCUUAGAAUUUAAUGGUUCCUUUUUCUAGUAUGUUACCCUGUAAGUGGGAAGCAUUAAACAAACAAGGUUGGAUGCAGAGUAGCCACCUCAAUCUUUUGCAACGUCCUCAAAACCUUUUUACACAUAUUUCCCUUGUAGAAAGAUGCUCAUUCACAUGUCAUACACAC